UGGCAUGGAUGAAAUAGGCCAGGAAUGUUUGCAUGCAUUACAACCUUAAUGCAGCUCUCUGUUGCACAAUUUAAGGGCAGAGCCCCUGGCGUCACAGUCCUUUGUGGACUGACCUUUAUCUCAGGUGCUGCGUAAUCUGGGGUAGAUAGAGCACUGAGUUGGAAAUCCAGGAUACACAGACUUCAUGAGGACCUUGCUGCUGAUACUUAGAUGUAAAGAAGGAAGAGUGCAAAGACAUCAGAUUGCAGGAAAAGGCAUGUCUGGGGACAUUCUUACUGGCAUAAUAUGCCAAUCAGGAUUCUAAGAGAAACCCAGUUUCCCUUCAGUGAAACCAUCACUAGGAUACCUACCAGGAGAUCCUUGUGCAACCCAAUGUCAUUGAUGUGAAGAGAAGGCACGCCUCUUUCCAUGAUGAAAUUCAAGCUGCGAGAUAUAUUUUUCAAGCAGAAUGUUUCCUGGAACUUCAGUAUACAGAACAAGAAUAAGCCAGCAGCUCCAGUUGGCAUGGUUGACUGAGCAAAGGGCAGAAAAAAGAGCCAGCUGGGUUUCUGGCCUCGAAGAAGUCUCCUCUCCCCUAGGGGCAGGCCCAAGUCUCCUUCCCACAUUCCUGGGUCAUCACCAAAAGGAUUGUGAAAAUCCCUGAGUAUUUUAUUCACAAGACUCUCAAACAUUUUAUACAUCUAUUCUGUAAAUGAAAUAAAAUCAAAUAAGAUCACACCAGAAAAAAAACUGAGUAAAACCGAAA